UGACGUCGCGAGUUUGCCAACCCAAAGGUUGAUAAAACACGCAAUUUUUGCAGACUUGAAACGCCAUUUUACCUCCCCCCUUGGACACCGUGGAUGUAAUCAUCGAAACCGGGUCAAAAUAGCACGCAAUAUAUAAUGAAGAGAGAAU